UACAAGGACAAUUCUGUGAAUGACAAGUCUUGGUAGCUGGAAUGCUCUGGUGCCAUACACUGGCUUUAAAAAAAAAAAAAAUUCUAGAGAUCACUUGAGUGAGCCUGGCUUAGGUUUUCAAGCACAUUGAUGUUAGUCCUAACCUAUGCUAAAAAGAUAGAUGCUACAUGCUGGCUCAGUUGCUUAAUCAUUUUCAACUCUUUGGGACCCCAUGGCCUGUAACCCGCCAGGCUCCUCUGUCCAUGGGGUUUCCCAGGCAAGAAUACUGGAGUGGAUUGCCAUUUCCUCCUCCAGGGGAUCUUCCUGCCCCAGGGAUCAAACCUGUCUCUCCUGCAUUGGCAGGCAGAUUCUUUACCACAGAGCCACCUGGGAAGCCCAGACAGAUACUAACCUGAUACCAAUUCUCCUUGGCAAGGAUUAGGAACCUCUGUGUGCGUGUCUGCUCUGGGAACAGGGGAAGUGGGAAGACGCUGCUGGAGGAUUCUGUUCCCUCUGCUGGCACCAAAAGGCCAACAGACACAAGCCACAACCACAGGCAGGAGGUGACUGGGACCCUCACCACCCACCAGUCUUGUUCACCGUGGAUGCGAGGAAGGACCAGGCACCCACGAAGCUAGAGGUCUCCUUCAAGCCUGGUACAGAGGCAGCGCUCACACCAGCUCAUCCAAUAGAAUCCCGAUGCUCUGGGAGGCCUCGGAGGGGCCAGCGAUGGGCUUGUUACACAUGGGGCAGACACAGCGCACCUCCAGCCACUUCACCAGACACCUGCGGGCAAAAGCUGACCUGUUACUCCCUAAGAAGAUACCAGCGUGCUCCGGCUGCCCCUUCAUAGAGCCCCGCUGCUUCUCAAGACAAGAACCUCUCCAUCCCUGCCCUGGUCUAACCCUUCUGGCUUGCCUGGUGUGCAGACAGGAUGCAGGGCAUCAGCAAGGGGUGUGUGGGAAGGACAGGGACUGGAGCCUCUAGAAGACUGUUAUUGUUCCGUCUCCAAGUCAUGUCCGACUCUGCAACCCCACCAACUGUAACCCGCCAGGGUCCUCCAACCAUGGGAUUCUCCAGGCAAGAAAACUGGAGUGGGUUGCCAUGUCCUUCUCCAGGGGAACUUCCCGACCCAGGGAUCGAGCCUGAGUCUCCUCCUCGGCAGGCAGGUUCUUUACCACUGUGUCGCCUGGGAAGCCCCCCUCUAGAAGAUGCUCCCUGCUUUCUUCGCUCCAAGGCAUCUGGACACAGCCCCACGACGGACACUUACUUGCGGUGAAAGGCGUGUUGGCACGGGAGGACACCUAGCUCGUCCUUGCCCCUGAAGUCUUCCAGACAGACGGCACAGGUCUGCUGUGGGAAGAGAGAGCCGUGUGAGAGGAGACGGGGAGGAGCCUCCCCCUGAAUCCUCAGUCACAUCACCCCAUCUCCACCCAAGAGAGGACUAACCCUGACACGCAGCAGCCACGAUCCACGGCGGACUGAUCCAAGUAGAUGAAAUUAAAUGGUUAGUUCCUUGGUCACGGCAGCCACAUUUUAAGUGCUCAACAACCACAGUGUGGCUAGUGGCUCCCACGCCAAAUACAGAUAAAAAGCAUUUAAUUGUUA